rnacentral:lncRNA from 1 species
UGCGCAUGAACGGAGGCGUGAUGUACAGUGUGUGUCCGCCCCCUUUCCCUGCAGCCCCAUUCACGUGGCGGUCACGGUGACCAGCGAGCGCAGAAUUCCGCUGGACCCGUGAUGGAUGGAGUUCAACGAGAUUCAAAGCCAGAACAAUAUGUGAGUGAGCUGUCUUUCCCAGGAAGUCAAGGUCCAGACAUGAAGAUUCAGCCUCACAAGGCCAAACGCAGGCUGAAGAUGAAAACUAAUCAGAAAAGUCCAGACAGUCAAGGGAAAAGAAAUUCAGUCUUCAAGUCAAAAUGCAGGCUGGUGGGAAGGCACCAAGCAGCAUGGCCACAUGCUCCCCCUCCCCUACCUAAAACCCCAGCACAGGCUCUCCCUCCUCUACCUGAAACCCCUUACCUUCUUCCCUUCAAGGAGGUGGAUCUGAGUUCUAACUCCCAUCUCCUUGUCUGGCUGCCUUUUGAUAAUAAACCUCUUUCCUUGCCACAA